rnacentral:rRNA from 1 species
CCUACGGGAGGCAGCAGUGGGGAAUAUUGCACAAUGGGGGAAACCCUGAUGCAGCGAAGUCGCGUGAGUGAAGAAGUACCUCGGUAUUUAAAGCUCUAUCAGCAGGGAAGAAAAUGACGGCACCUGAUUAAGAAGCCCCGGCUAACUACGUGUCAGCAGCCGCGGUAAUACGUAGGGGGCAAGCGUUAUCCGGAUUUACUGGGUGUAAAGGGGGCGUAGACGGCAGCGCAAGUCUGAAGUGAAAUGCCGGGGCUUAACCCCGGAACUGCGUGGGAAACUGUGCAGCUGGAGUGCAGGAGAGGUAAGUGGAAUUCGUGGUGUAGCGGUGAAAUGCGUAGAUAUUAGGAGGAACACCAGUGGCGAAGGCGGCUUACUGGACUGUAACUGACGUUGAGGCUCGAAAGCGUGGGGAGCAAACAGGAUUAGAUACCCCAGUAGUC